rnacentral:rRNA from 1 species
UUCAAAUUGAGAGUUUGAUCCUGGCUCAGGAUGAACGCUGGCGGCGUGCCUAAUACAUGCAAGUCGAACGCUUUGUGGUUCAACUGAUUUGAAGAGCUUGCUCAGAUAUGACGAUGGACAUUGCAAAGAGUGGCGAACGGGUGAGUAACACGUGGGAAACCUACCUCUUAGCAGGGGAUAACAUUUGGAAACAGAUGCUAAUACCGUAUAACAAUGACAACCGCAUGGUUGUUAUUUAAAAGAUGGUUCUGCUAUCACUAAGAGAUGGUCCCGCGGUGCAUUAGCUAGUUGGUAAGGUAAUGGCUUACCAAGGCGAUGAUGCAUAGCCGAGUUGAGAGACUGAUCGGC